CGAUUGAUAUCGGAAGAGUCUCUACCUGCCGCGGCAGGCAGAGCGCCGAAGGAGCAACCGCCCCGGAAACUCUCAGGCUAAAGGACCGGCAUCGCUUU
rnacentral:ncRNA from 2 species